GACGAACGCUGGCGGCGUGCUUAACACAUGCAAGUCGAACGGAAAGGCCCUGCUCUUGUGGGGUGCUCGAGUGGCGAACGGGGGAGUAACACGUGAGUAACCUGCCCUUGACUUUGGGAUAACUUCAGGAAACUGGGGCUAAUACCGGAUAGGAGCUCCUGCUGCAUGGUGGGGGUUGGAAAGUGUCGGCGGUUGGGGAUGGACUCGCGGCUUAUCAGCUUGUUGGUGGGGUAGUGGCUUACCAAGGCUUUGACGGGUAGCCGGCCUGAGAGGGUGACCGGCCACAUUGGGACUGAGAUACGGCCCAGACUCCUACGGGAGGCAGCAGUGGGGAAUAUUGCACAAUGGGCGGAAGCCUGAUGCAGCAACGCCGCGUGCGGGAUGACGGCCUUCGGGUUGUAAACCGCUUUCGCCUGUGACGAAGCGUGAGUGACGGUAAUGGGUAAAGAAGCACCGGCUAACUACGUG
rnacentral:rRNA from 1 species